CAAUAGCGUAUACUAACGUUGUUGCAGUUAAAAGCUCGUAGUUGGAUUUCUGACGGCCUUAGCUCAGCUCGACUCCCUGAGUCGUUGUCUGUCUGAGGUAGUCAACAUUUGGCGUGGACCAGUGUCGGGCUUUUAUUAGCACGUGCUGGCGAUCGUCUCGUUUACUUUGAGAAAAUUAGAGUGUUCAAAGCAGGCUUCGCCUUGAAUAUGUUAGCAUGGAAUAAUGACAUAGGACUUUGGUUCUAUUUUGUUGGUUGUUCGAGAACCGAAGUAAUGAUUGAUAGGGACAGUUGGGGGCAUCAGUAUUCUGAAGCGAGAGGUGAAAUUCUUGGACCUUCGGAGACUAAC
rnacentral:rRNA from 1 species